rnacentral:rRNA from 1 species
AUUGAACGCUGGCGGCAUGCCUUACACAUGCAAGUCGAACGGUAACAGGGAGCUUGCUCCGCUGACGAGUGGCGAACGGGUGAGUAAUGUAUCGGAACGUACCUUUUAGUGGGGGAUAACGUAGCGAAAGUUACGCUAAUACCGCAUAUUCUCUGAGGAGGAAAGCAGGGGACCUUCGGGCCUUGCGCUAAUAGAGCGGCUGAUAUCAGAUUAGCUAGUUGGUGAGGUAAAGGCUCACCAAGGCGACGAUCUGUAGCGGGUCUGAGAGGAUGAUCCGCCACACUGGAACUGAAAAACGGUCCAGACUCCUACGGGAGGCAGCAGUGGGGAAUUUUGGACAAUGGGGGCAACCCUGAUCCAGCCAUGCCGCGUGAGUGAAGAAGGCCUUCGGGUUGUAAAGCUCUUUCGGCCGGGAAAAAAUCGCAUGGGCUAAUACCCUGUGUGGAUGAUGGUACCGGAAUAAGAAGCACCGGCUAACUACGUGCCAGCCGCCGCGGUAA